AAGACUUGGUGUCUCCCUCAGGAGAAGCCUGGGUAAAUCCAGAUAGCUUCUCCCUUGGGGUUUAAGGGACUACCAGGGAUUUAAUUACAAGCUUGGGCCAUAUAUGUAAAUAGGAAUUACUGAAUAAUGAACAUCAGGGUUGGGAGAGUUUGGAUGAAGAUGGAAUAUUUUUAGUGCUAUGGGAGUAGUUUGGGAUAACCAGAAGUAACAUCUGUGAAUCCAGCAAAUAUAUAUCCUUGCAAAGGAACAGAACACAACUCAGUCCUGACUGUCAAGAACAAUUUAUGCUGUAGGGCAGUAGCAUUUUGCUGCCUGGCCUUUUUCCUAAAUUUGAACAUUUUUUCAUAGGCAUUUGGACAAAUGAGGCUUCUGCAGGGUAAGCUAUCUGCAGCUCUGCAGCAUUCUUGUGAUGCAGAAGAUUGAGGAGUUUAUGCAAAAUCAGAUACUUAGCCAUAUGCAAGGCAGGAUGAAGGUACAGCUUUUGGAGGACAGAGCAGAGAUUUGUAUUCAGAUAAUUCCCCAUCUGGACUGAUAAAAGGCUGAGGAAUUCAAGCCAUCUCCCCCAGAAAGGUGUGUUUUCUAGGAGGCUACUACUGCAGAGAUGUGAAGAGGCAGAAGGAAUAACAACUGCUGGCUUCAAAUGCCUCUGCUCAUCUUUCCUAUCAAUUAUUUAGACAAGAAAGAUUUACAUGAAAAUUAAUCAUUAAAUUUUGAAUUGCUGCUUUACAUCAAUAAUGAAAUAGUUGUACCAAAUACAAACAGAUAAAGAGAACAGGAAAAGAAAUCAUCAUUAACACACAAAAGGAAAAGUAAUAUUUUAAUGAAACUAUAAAGCUCAUUACUGCUUCAUGGCAGAGGGUUACUGCCAGUGACCUAGAACAGACAGCCUUAUAUGCCAGAAGUGAAGCCUCCUGUUUAAUCUAUCGUAAGUGAUGUUAGCAUAUUUCAAUUGUGUGAGCUGGAUUCUGUUAGAUUCCAUAAACAAGCCAUUUUUGGUACCAAAAUAGCUCUAUAAAUUAAAAAAAAAAUAAUUAUAAAUUAAGAUUUUACAGAUUUUAAUGCAGUCCUAAUUUUAAUACAGGUUGUCUUUCAGGUGUCAACAUACAGAAGUAUCAUGGUAGACAUCUGAGAUCUAUCAAAUGGGGUUACUAGACAUAAUCUGUAUCCCAAAAUUUUGGUUUAUGGUCAUCUGAGAUCACAAAUUAUCACAUAAAGUUACUAGAGAGCAAUAUUAUCCCAAAAUUUCAGCUUGCGGUCAUCUGAGACCAACCAGUCACCAGCUCUUUGUUUGGGAUAUCUGCUGAGGUCACCAAAUUAGAAGUUCAUUUAUAACAACAAGAAUCUGUGCUGAGUGUUGUACAAAGACAUAAAGCAGAGUUACUGCUGAGGACUGUGUCAAACACAUGAUUAUAAAUCCACAAUUUUUUUUUAUGCCAUAGUUAUUAAUUUCAAAAAUCACAGACAUGUUCACUAUCACUCCAGCUGCUCCCAUCUAUCAUUUCCAUUAGGCCAUCCCUUCCAGUUAUCCAGCACUAUUUUAACACUGUAUUUUCAACUGCAAUGUGAUAUGAAAGCAAAUGCCUGAUUUUUUUUCCCUAAAAAAAUGAGAGAAAGGGCAGGAAAAACAGAUAGGAAUUAAUACUUAGAAUCUUAAGAAGAAUUUGUUUUCCCAACCAUCUACCUCCUUAGCUAUGCUCUGUGUAACAAAAUGUGCUUCCUAACCUACAUUGUUUACUUUGCACUAAGAACACAAGACACUAUGCAGGUGUCAUAGGUGGUUGUAUUCUAAGCAGGGGAAAACAUGGCAGAUAUUUGCAAUCUAUGCAAUACUAUAUACAGAGAUUUUCUCCAUAGCACAGAAUUCAAACCACAUUUUUUCAACCAUAAAAAAAGAAAGCCAAACCUUGCUGCGUUCAGACCUUCUUGUCUUUAGUAAGAGUUCAGAAGAUACAUUGGAGAUUACUCAACUGCAAUGAAACUGCACAGGGAUGCAGAGCAAACAGGAGUCCACUGCCUCAAGGCAGAAAUGGAUGCAGCAAUGAGAAUAAAGGUCUGUUUGGAAGGAUAAAAUUGUUUGAUCAGAUCAAAAAUAUUUUUCAGGAGAAAACUCAGAAACCAGGGAACAAAAAUUAAAAUUCCUUUUUAAUCAUCCAAAAUGAGCUGAGUGUGGCUUGGAUUUUAAAAGAAACAAGUUAGUUGUCAACACUGCAACCAAGACACUAAGGUAUGAUUCUUCCCACUUCAGUUAACUACAGCAUGUUCAUUUGUGUCAGUGUAAGAGAUGGUCUGAAGUUUCCUUCAUCUGCCUCAUGACCAUCACAAGAACAGAGACUAAGAUCCUGAAGACCCUAGGCGACUUUUUGCAGGGGUUCUGGCCUGGUGGAGGUGGAUGCCUGCUAAGUGAUUGUUUGAAGGUGUGCUCGACCUGACACCUUCUUCCCAGAGCAAUGGGUCUCACCACAAUAGUGAUUGUUUGCAAGUGUGUUUGCUGUGCUGCCAUGGUACAUUGUCUUAAUUCCUGCUGGUGAGCAGGGACAUGUGAAGAGUGGUGUGCUUUGUACCUUGCACCUGUUUCUCAGAGCAACAGGUCACACCACAAUAAUCGAUAAAUCUCAUCACCUUUUGGCCAACUGCCUCUCUCUUUGAAACAGACCAUAAAAGUGACUUUUCAAAGUCACUUUCAGAGAGAGAUCUCCCCAUGGAAGACGACACCGGCGACGCUGUCUCGUCCAUUGAGCAAGAAGGAUUAUUGAGAAUCAGAGUCCUGGGACAUGACACCUAUCAGCACUCCAUAUUAUAGGACAUCCUACAGGAUCAUCUUGCACUGGAACAGGAAGCUUUUAUCAUUGCUAUAUUCUGAUAUAACAGCUGGACACAUAUUCUGAACUUGUGCUUAUAAAGUAUCAGUGUCACAAGGUGGAUUCUCUGCAUCCCACAGAUGCAGAUCCUUGGACGACAUCACUUCUCCCAUAGAGAAGAAAUCCUAUCCAUGAAGAUCAACAUUCACCCUUUAUCCAAAGCCUCUGCAAUUCAUCACAGGCCAAGUUCCUCAUCUGUCUUGGAAUGACAGCCUGGAAACAAAACACAAAUGGUGAGAAGAAUGAAGAGUGAUUCAGUGUCCUCAGUCCAUCCAAGAUUCACUGUGUUAGGUGGCAAGAGAGAAUAUGGAAACCCAUACUAUGUGUGUGAGUACACAGAUAUUCAAGAUUAGAACAGGUGCUGGAUUCAGACUGAGUUUAGGGAUGGCAGAUCUUCAGAGCUCAUGACAUCAUUAGACUGCUGGUAUGCACGCUCAGAACUGAGAUUAAAAUAAAUAUCCAGCAGAUUUGUACACCACUGACAACUAAAUGGUGUGAAAAGGGAUGAAACAAGUUGAAGAUAAACCCUUCAUAUUGAAAAGCAAGGACAGAAAGAGAUGCAUCAAUAUUCAAGCUACAAGUAAGGCUUGGAAAUGAGAAAUUCAAUCCUAGUUCUAUUGGACAGCUGAACUGAUCACAAAUGCCUCAUUCCUCAGUCUCCAUGUAACCCACUCCUAGGGCAAACUCACCCUGAGACCAUCAUAGCAGGCACCCCUCCUGUAAGAGCCUUCAGUGGUGGGACAGUUGAUCUUGCGAGAAUUUUUCCAGGCAGGUUGUGGGCAGCCAUCAGACACUGAUGGCUCAUGGCCUCUGGUGUCCUCAAGGAGCGCAGCUUCUCGAGUACCAGAGGCUCAGAGCUGUACUACACAUGAGAUCUGUCCCCAUGGAAAACAUCAUGAGCCCAUGUCAGCUGUGGGAAAAUGCUGUGGGAGACAAAACAGUCCCUCAUCAUUCUUGUACUCCAUCCCUACUGACAUGCUUUGCUACCUACACCUGGUCCCUGCAUAUGGACCAUGACUGGGGAAUUCCCGCUCCUUUCAUCAGCUUAGAAAUGCUUGGUAGGACCCAGCCUUCCCUAUUGCUGCCUCUUCCAAUCCACAAGCUCUGGGUACAAUGUGGGAGGCAGAGGUUUAUGGGUCACAUGCAGGGAUCUGUUAUUCCAGGUUCCACAGUAGUGACUAUUGACGUAUAGCUUAUAUUCCUGCCUCUGUGUCAGGGAGCUUAGUUUCAGCAAAAGGUAAAGAAGUUGAGCAGCCUCAGCAGAGUUACAGCAAAUUGCUAGGUCUGGCUGCAUCAAGAAGGGGUCCAGACAGAAAGCUAUAUGGAAAAAGAGGGUAGGGAUAGGGCAAGGGAGGGGAAGGAAUUUGUCAAUAAAACAGCAGAUACUUGAGAGGGAAGGCAGCUAAAACUUCUUUUUCUGGCUAGAUGGAGCUUGUACAGAUGGAGACCGUACUGCUCCUAGACAAGGACCAAUGAUACUUUUGACAGUACAAAACGACCACAGCCAAUUCAAGUGUUCAGGUGUAAGUCACACCUGAAAAUAUGAUGCUGUCUGGGCAAAGAAAGGAAAAGUGCUUUCUGCACUGCCUCUCUCACUGUUUGCCUCAGUUUUAGCCUUGGAAGAUACCCAGUGCUUUAAUGACCUAGGCAGAUGGGGUAGAACUCAUCCAAAUAAAUCAAUUAAGAGGUCCAUAUCUGAGCUACUUGGAUUAGACUUUCUCCUGAAUUGUUAAUGGACAUCAUACAAUUCAUCAUGCACUAAAAUAGAGAUCUAAAAUAGGACAGGUGAGUCAUGCCUAAAAAUAGAUAAUCACUUCCAUUAACUAAAAAGGGAAGCCUGGAGUGCUCAGUUCAGCUGCAAAUGUAAAUACAUCACAGGUGUCUGAGGUGGAGAGAAGUGAAUUCCGUCCCAAGUUAUUGUCAGUAUCAGGAAUGACUUCUUUUCCAACAGUGCCUGCAGACCUACUGGGACAAACCCUUGUGCUAUGUUUUGCUGCCUUUCUCUGGCUGCCUCCCCCUACUCGAGUGCAAAGGCCAGGAAUAUGAUAGUCAAUGCUGAGAUACACAGGACAACUCCUUUCUCUUUUAAGGUAGCAAUCUGGUGAAACCCAGAAGGGAAAUGGCAAGACAAAUCUACAUCAAAAUGAAAAGAGCAUUAAAUGAAGGAGCUGGAGCAGGUCGUUGCCUUCCACAUUCCUUUUUCUGGACAGGAGCCUUAGAAAUUUACCACGGGGGUAGGGGAGAAAGAAGCUAAAGUUUUGAGACUACAGUGUUUCAAGAAGCAUACCAAGCCCUUUCUCCCAGCAUUUUUAGGUUAAUGAUACAAUUGUAGCAACCAGCAAAAAUUUGAAUAUUAACAAUAAAUGGGUUUUUGUAGACUAA